GGAGAGGUGCUCGAGCGGUUGAAGGGGGCGGUCUCGAAAACCGUUGUACCGCAAGGUACCCAGGGUUCGAAUCCCUGCCUCUCCG
rnacentral:tRNA from 1 species